AUGGUUAAAGAGUGUCUUGUGCGGUGCUUCACUACAGAAAGGCAACAGAAGUUGGGAAAAGAAGGAUUCUCAAGUAGGUAUCCAGGCUCUCUGUGGGAGUCCCCUCUGAACUGCAGCCACACUGAGUCCCCUCUGAACUGCAGCCACACUGCCCUCUACUUGAUGAGUACUCGGUGGUCAGACACUCAGAUGCAACCACAAAAGGUGCCGUGCAGAUCCCAGCUACUGGUGACUCCACAAUGGCCUCUGCCCUUGGGACCACUGUCUCCUAAAACAGGACUGAAGCCUGGAACGACACUGGACGCAAAAGGUACAAAAAUCCUAGAUGCCACCAGGUCAAGAGCUUGCAAGGGGCCAGAGGACCUUCUUGAGGGCUGACCCUGGAGCCCGACUGCAGGAAGAGGGGUGCACUGGGUAGAAAGGGUUAGGGGCAUGCAGUCCACGGAAGCAUGCCCACGUGGUGUAUUGUGGGCACUCCUCCUCCGUAAGUGGGGGGCGGGGGUCAAGCAGGGAAGUGCAUUAGGAUCUGAGACUCUAUCGGGGGCACGAAAGGAGCCUUGGAGAGGUUCAGCCAGAUUAGACAGACCCUCUGGGAGAAUCCUUCUGAUGCCCUGUAGAUGAGGGUGGGGUUAGCCUAAAGGCAGGGAGCUGAGUUGGGUCCCGCAGUCAUCUAUUCAUAUAAAAUAGCACCGUGUGUGCCCCUCAGGUUCUUGGUGCCGUUUUGAUUCAUGUCACAGAUUCAUCUACGUGCUUGCAAUAGAGUCACUGGACUACAAGAAUCUUCCUUUAAAUCAUACAUUCACCCAGCCAGUAUUAAUCCAGCAUCCCCCAUGUGGCCAAUGCUGGGGACCCAAUGGCAAGCUUAGAGUUGAGUGGAAGAGACGUCAUGCACACUGUAUAACAGGUGCCUUGAAGGAAGAGUCCCAGAUGCCUGGGAAGCAUGUCACGAGGAGUCCAGUCUGGUCUGGGGGAUGGGAGUCAGUCCAGGAGGUGACUUUGGAGUUGAAGUCUGAAGGAGGACUUGGUAUUAAACUACACAAAAUGGAGAGGGAGGAUUCUAGGUGAAGGAAGCAGCUUGUGCAAAGGCUCUGUGGUAGGGAAGAAUAUGGCAUAUUUGAGAAGUUAGAAAAACCGAGAGGGAGAGGAGGAGGGCAGUGAAGGAUAAGGGGAAAAAAAGAGGGCCAGGACUGCCUUGCACAGUGCCAACUCCUUGCAAGCAUUUGAAGUUACUUUUUUUUUAAUUUUUUUUUUAAUAUUUGUUUAUUUUUGAGACAGAGAUAGAGCAUGAACGGGGGAGGGUCAGAGAGAGAGGGAGGCACAGAAUCUGAAGCAGGCUCCAGGCUCUGAGCUGUCAGCACAGAGCCCGACGCGGGGCUCGAACUCACAGACCGCGAGAUCAUGACCCGAGCUGAAAUCGGACGCUUAACCGACUGAGCCACCCAGGCGCCCCUGAAGUUACUUUUUUAGACAAUCAUUUUUUAUCUCUCUUUGACACCCUGAGCACUGGUGAGUUGUAGACAGAACCAAGAAGAGGUGGCUAUGGAGAGCUGUGUCCAUGGCCUCAGCUUCUCCCCUAUUCCCCAGUCUCCUUUUGCCCCUCCGAUGUAGGAAUACCAGUCCCCAGGUUCGUGAUGUUUUGACCUCAUAGGAAUCUGUGCAGGUUUCAGUUUUAGGAACUUGGUACCAGUACCACCUUCCCACGUACACAGUCUUGGCCAAAAAAGGGCACUAACUUUGCUGAAGGUUCUGGCCACUCAGCACUGGCAAUUAACAGUCCCCCCUGCUUUAUUUUUACAAGGAACUAAUCUCACUUUCUAGAACUUGCUCAUUCCCAGAGUGGGUGAUUGUUAGCCUUUAAGACAAUCCACUGGACAGAAAAAUUUUGGGAUGUCUCUCUACCCAAAGCUCAGCAAGCCAGCCACAUAACUUGGUGCCAACACUUAUCGAAUACACGUGUAUGUCAAGUGUUUGCCGUAUGCAAGGUUUUCCAAUCUUACUACUCUGUUCUGCAGAUACUAAAACUGAGGCCCAGAAGGUUCUGCAACCGGCCAUGGGAACACAAAUAGGAAGGGACAGCCUGAACACACACCCUGGGGCCUGGCGCGGCAGCCCAUGCACAAUAGACACUCUCAGCUUAGCAGUGCUGUGGCCCAUGGAGGCCCAAGUGUAGACAUCAUGCCCUACUGUCCCAGCCAGGAUUCUUCGAUAGUAGACAUAAAAAUUCAGAUGCUUCUGAACUCCAAGGCCACAGUGGUUUACAUGGCACCACUGUGGCUGAUGAAUUAUCAAACUUCCUGCCUCCCCCAACUCUGGCAAGAACUUUGGUAGAACUUCUGUGCCACAUCCAGUGCUAGGAACUUGCCAACUUUGCGUCCUUAAAAUAAAGCAGGUUCCAAGAUAGAUGGCA
rnacentral:lncRNA from 1 species